rnacentral:rRNA from 1 species
UACGUAGGGUGCAAGCGUUGUCCGGAAUUAUUGGGCGUAAAGAGCUCGUAGGCGGUCUGUCGCGUCUGCUGUGAAAACUCAGGGCUUAACCCUGAGCUUGCAGUGGGUACGGGCAGACUAGAGUGCGGUAGGGGAGACUGGAAUUCCUGGUGUAGCGGUGAAAUGCGCAGAUAUCUGGAGGAACACCGGUGGCGAAGGCGGCAUCCUGGACCAAUUCUGACGCUGAGGAGCGAAAGCCAGGGGAGCAAACGGG